AUUGAACGCUGGCGGCAGGCCUAACACAUGCAAGUCGAACGAGUGGCGGACGGGUGAGUAAUGUCUGGGAAACUGCCUGAUGGAGGGGGAUAACUACUGGAAACGGUAGCUAAUACCGCAUACCAUCGGAUGUGCCCAGAUGGGAUUAGCUAGUGGGUGGGGUAAAGGCUCACCUAGGCGACGAUCCGUAGCUGGUCUGAGAGGAUGAUCAGCCACACUGGAACUGAGACACGGCCCAGACUCCUACGGGAGGCAGCAGUGGGGAAUAUUGGACAAUGGGCGAAAGCCUGAUGCAGCCAUGCCGGGUGUGUGAAGAAGGUCUUCGGGUUGUAAAGUACUUUCAGUUGGGAGGCGUUACCAACAGAAUAAGCACCGGCUAACUCCGUGCCAGCAGCCGCGGUAAUAC
rnacentral:rRNA from 1 species